rnacentral:rRNA from 1 species
UACGGAGGGUGCAAGCGUUAAUCGGAAUUACUGGGCGUAAAGCGCACGCAGGCGGCUGAGUAAGUCGAUUGUGAAAGCCCUGGGCUUAACCUGGGAAUUGCAGUCGAUACUGCUCGGCUAGAGUAUGGGAGAGGGUAGUGGAAUUCCCGGUGUAGCGGUGAAAUGCGUAGAUAUCGGGAGGAACAUCAGUGGCGAAGGCGGCUACCUGGCCCAAUACUGACACUCAGGUGCGACAGCGUGGGGAGCAAACAGG